rnacentral:rRNA from 1 species
CAGCCGCCGCGGUAAUACGAAGGGUGCAAGCGUUAAUCGGAAUUACUGGGCGUAAAGCGUGCGCAGGCGGUUUGUUAAGACAGAUGUGAAAUCCCCGGGCUCAACCUGGGAACUGCAUUUGUGACUGGCAAGCUAGAGUGUGGCAGAGGGGGGUGGAAUUCCGCGUGUAGCAGUGUAAUGCGUAGAUACGCGGAGGAACACCGAUGGCGAAGGCAGCCCCCUGGGCCAACACUGACGCUCAUGCACGAAAGCGUGGGGAGCAAACAGGAUUAGAUACCCCUGUAGUCCCUGUCUCUUAUAC